rnacentral:rRNA from 1 species
CCUACGGGAGGCAGCAGUGAGGAAUAUUGGUCAAUGGGCGGGAGCCUGAACCAGCCAAGUCGCGUGAAGGAAGAAGGUACUUAGUAUUGUAAACUUAUUUUGUCGGGGAACCAAGGCGGAGACGAGUCUCCGGAUGAGUGUACCCGAAGAAAAAGCAUCGGCUAACUCCGUGCUAGCAGCCGCGGUAAUACGGAGGAUGCGAGCGUUAUCCGGGGUUAUUGGGUUUAAAGGGUGCGCAGGCGGGAGAUCAAGUCAGCGGUAAAAUGUCGGGGCGCAACCCCGGCCGGCCGUUGAAAAUUGUUUUCUAGAGUUGGAGAGAAGUAUGCGGAAUUCGUGGUGUAGCGGUGAAAGGCAUAGAUAUCACGAAGGACUCCGAUUGCGAAGGCAGCAUACCGGCUCCAUACUGACGCUGAGGCACGAAAGCGUGGGGAUCGAACAGGAUUAGAUACCCUUGUAGUC